rnacentral:sRNA from 1 species
CCACUGCUUCUAAAUCAAUAAAACAGUGGAUGACUGUUAGGAAAAACAAAGCUACGCUUCUUUAAUAUCUACUGAUCUAUCUGUGCUAAAUCUGCUGCACAGAUACUAACCAGUGUUGAAAAUGUACUAAUUGUAUACCUGACAUCUUAACAGAUAUUAAACUAAGUUCUAGUUGAGCCCAACUGCAGAUCAGAGAAAAGAAACUCUAUGCUUACAAUCAAUCAUCUUAAAUGCAAUUAGUUUUCUCUGGUCUUUCUUUUCAAAGAAAGGGACUAAGGCUCCUCAGGCUGCAGGAAAGAUUCACACAGAUUUUGAAAAGGGAUUCAUUAUGGCUGAAGUAAUGAAAUAUGAAGAUUUUAAAGAGGAAGGUUCUGAAAAUGCAGUCAAGGCUGCUGGAAAGUACAGACAACAAGGCAGAAAUUAUAUUGUUGAAGAUGGAGAUAUUAUCUUCUUCAAAUUUAACACACCUCAACAACCAAAGAAGAAAUAAAAUUUAGUUAUUGCUCAGAUAAACAUACAACUUCCAAAAGGCAUCUGAUUUUUUAAAAAUUAAAAUUUCUGAAAACCAAUGCAACAAAUAAAGUUGGGGAGAUGGGAAUCUUUGACAAACAAAUUAUUUUUAUUUGUUUUAAAAUUAAAAUACUGUGUACCCACCCCCUCCAUGAAAUGCAAGUUCACUAAAUGUGAACAGCUUUGCUUUUCACGUGAUUAAGACCCUACUCCAA